ensembl:lncRNA
CUCUGGGAUGGGAGGGAAAGGCGGUCUCAGUUCAGGAUCCUCUCCUCAGCAGGCAGGGAGUCUGAGUGGCAGAGCCGUGUGUCUUUCAGAGAGAGCCGCACUGAUGCUACCCGGCACUAUGUCCUGCCCAGCUGUGGCAUGUGAGAAACCAUAGUUGAAUCAGGAGAGGUGGGCUUUUUUUUCAUUUUCUUUUUCCUUUCGCUCUUCCAUGUGGAUGGGAAGCCCUUUUUUUGGUGAAGCCAAGGAAGGAGGAAGACAGACAGAGACAGAGUGGGGGAACUACUGGCCACCGCCACCACUACCCCCCCAGCUCAGAGAGACAAGGAAAAACGGAGGCCGCUGGAGUAUUCGUGUUUUUUUUUCGUUUUGUGUUCUUCUUCUUCCUCAUCGUGGUGUUGGGAGGUGCUUUGUCUUUUCAUUUGCUCGCUCUCUCCGUUCUCUGCCUUGUCAUCUACUUCUCCAUUUACCUCGUCUACAAUUUCUUGUUUUUAUGAGCAACAGACAGGAGGGAAAGAGAGGGGGAUAUUUCUUCUACGUUCUCUCCCCUUUUUAUUUCCCUCAUCCACCCCUUCCCCCUCCAUCAUCCCCGUCCCUCCUGGUUUCUCUUGUCCCCUCCUGUGCAACCUCUCUUCUCCAUCACCAGCUCUCACUGCAUCUGUCACCUCCUCCACCCACCAACUUUUACUGCUUUUAAAUCCACCAGUGGGAUAACAGCACUGAAUCCUUUUUUUCCUAUGAACAACAGAAACCACCAACUCAGUGAUUGUUUUCUAUUUUCUCACCUUUUUUCCCUCUUCUUUUCCCCUUUUUUUCUUCUUUUUCUCUCCCUCUCAUCUUUUGCAUCUCUAAUUUGGGGGACUCUUUAUUGUAUUUAUAGGUAGGUUAUUCAGUGUUCUGUGUCUGUCUCUCGGACUGUGUGUGUCUGCCUGUCGGCGUGUGUGUGUGUGUGUGUGUGUGUGUGUGUGUGCGCGUGUGUGUAUAUCCCUACAUGUGUGUGUGUAUGUGUGUGUGUGUUUUCUGCAUAUAUGACACAUGAUCACACAUGCUCUGAACUACUGAACAGAAAAGGGAGGGCUCCAUUUGAAACCUGUUCAUUUGAUGGUUCUCUCCUAUCACCUCACCUUUUUUAUAUUCCACUUAUCCUCCAACAUCUAUGUCUCGAUUGAGCCAUUGUAAACACCUCCUUUGCCUCUGUAGCACCAUCAAAACAGCCACAAACCGUGUCCUCCCUGCACCUCCUUUUCAUGUCAGAGAGGCAUUUUAAUGAGUGAGUCAUUUUUUUGUCCCUCUGUCUGUGCUAUCGUUGUUGUAUCCAAAGUUUAGCUUUGCCUUGUCUGCCAGCUGCCUUUGUCAUUUCAAGCAUAUAUGCUAUGAUAUCCUUUAUGAGAAUCCCGAAAAAUAACACAUUUGAAAUGUCUGGGGAAUAAAUGAAGUAGCCAACUGAUGAAAAACAAUUCCAAUCUGCAGCACUGAAAACGGAAGUGGUGUAGUCUGGCAAUGCCUGUGAAACAUAGCCAAUAGCACAGUUUCAAAUGCAAAUUUCUUGCAUAGCCCAUCUUCAUUCCACUGGUCGAUCACCUGUCUGUGCAUACAUCUCUCUCUCUCUCCCUCUCUCUCUCUCUCUCUCUCUGUUCUCUCACCCUCAAACACACUCAAGCACCCAAAUAGAACAAACUAAAACGCUUACCACAAUUCUCUUACCUUUCAGAGGAUUAAAAAAAGAUUUCUCCCCACUCACUGUCCUCCUCUCAUCUGCACCCUGCCUGUUUUUCGAACCUCCCUGUGAAAUCUCAUUCAUCCAUUGAUUUAUUUCACUUUCCUCCAUCCACGUUUUCCACUUACCAUUUGACAAUUAUUCAUGCUUCUCGCUGAUUUCUCCGAGUGGAACCCUGAUCAUUUCACAAUUAAUUGUAAGGUGAAAUGAAAGCUGGAGCCGUUAUCUGCAGGGCCAUGUUUGCUUUCAAAGGUUCUGAUCUUAAUUAUUCUUGUUAGAAUUUCUUGCUUAAUUUUAAGAGUGGCAUGGCAUGGUGCAGGUGAAAUAUCUUCUGUAUAAUGUUCAGCAAUAUGGAGAUUAAACUGUGGUGAAGUGAGAAUUGUUAGAGCAGGGCAGAAGGUAAUUACAUUUCACACAAACCAAAAAACUUGGACUUGAAAUUUUUAGGCGUGUGUGGCCGUGUGUGUAUGUAUGCGUGUGUGUGUUUCAUACAUAGCAAUAGUCCGAUACAAAGCAACGUAGAGCAAGUCUCAAAUUCAUGCUUUCACCUCCAUCUCUGUCCACAUUGCCCUUUUAUCUUGAAGGAGAAUUUUAUGCAUCUCCACACUGUCUGAAGACUGGCAGAAGAGCUUUUUGAAUGAAUUGUGGUGUGGUGCGUGGAGGAUAAAAUUGGAUUUAGUUUUUUUUCCCUUGAGGAAUUACUCUUUGUAUGGGGGAUUGAACUGAAAUGCUAUAGCUUGUUAAAAAAAUCAACAACAUUGUAAUUUGGGACUUUUUGGUCAUUUCCUAUCGGACUAAACCUGAUUUUAAUACUUUUUCUAAUACUGAAUUUUAAUGGGAUUUUACUACCAAGAAUUAAGGACUCAACACCACUGUCCUUUGACUCUGUUUCAUUUUUGAUUAUUGUAAUACUUUUGUCCCAUCAUCCUGCAAACCUUUAAAACUGCUUUUACUCCAUAAUCAAUUGGGUGAGUACAUCAGUAUUCCAACACUGACCUUCUCUCUGUCAUCACCUUGUUUGUAUGCACAGUGAUCAUUUACAUACGGA